GGUGAACGCUGGCGGCGUGCUUAAGACAUGCAAGUCGAACGCAGUCUUCGGACUGAGUGGCGCACGGGUGAGUAACACGUAACUGACCUACCCCCAAGUCGCGGAUAACUGGCCGAAAGGUCAGCUAAUACGUGAUGUGAUGUCCCCUUUCUGGGGGGCCAUUAAAGGUUUACUGCUUGGGGAUGGGGUUGCGUUCCAUCAGCUAGUUGGCGGGGUAACGGCCCACCAAGGCAACGAAGGAUAGCCGGCCUGAGAGGGUGGCCGGCCACAGGGGCACUGAGACACGGGUCCCACUCCUACGGGAGGCAGCAGUUAGGAAUCUUCCACAAUGGGCGAAAGCCUGAUGGAGCGACGCCGCGUGAGGGAUGAAGGUUCUCGGAUCGUAAACCUCUGAAUCAGGGACGAAAGACGCGUAAGCGGGAUGACGGUACCUGAGUAAUAGCACCGGCUAACUCCGUGCCAGCAGCCGCCGCCG
rnacentral:rRNA from 1 species